ACGACCGACACGGGGUGCCCCGACGGGGGCUGAGAUCACACCCGGUGAACCUGAUCGAGUUCGUACUCGCGGAGGGAUGUCGUCGAUGAGCUGU
rnacentral:ncRNA from 2 species